CCCAGCUUGAGCUUCGAAACUCAAAAUACUUUGAAAAUUUUGAAAUGUUUCAACUUGCCUCAUUUCAUUUCGAGGCUGUUUCGAAGCUCUCUGUUUCAUUUCGACUUUGCUGUUUCAGACCCAAAAUGAGUUGAAACAGCAUUGAAAUGAAACUGCUGGCAAAAUUUUGCACAGCCCUAGUAAUCACUGGGGACUGCAUCAGGGGAGUGAGUAGCUGCCCAGGCCAGGAGAGGCUUUCUUAUUUUUAUUUUUCUUUCUUUCUUUCUUUUUUAUUCAAAUCUUUCAUUAAAGGUACUUAUUUCUUCUUCUAGGUUGGCAGAUCUCCUCUGGCGGGCUUUAAACUAGGCUCGUCAGGGGGAGGGGAAGAUGAGGGCAGGGGAAGCUGUGGACCACCAAACCAUGUGGCACCCACAAGGCCAGCCCAGCCUGAAGAAGGAGAACAUUGGGAACCUUCAAGCCAUGGGACAGCCAGCAGCACAGCACAGUUAGGUAAAGCUUUUUAAAUGACUCAAGAAAGCGUGGUCACCAGUACACCCAUAAAGCUGACACCAGAAAGAAGCAGCUGUUUUCACAAAGAACAGAGCCCAGAUGAUGAUGAAGAUUUUAGAAGAUAAUUAGGCAUUGAAUCAACAGGUCAUUUCAUGUCAAGAAUGUAAAAUUUUCAUAAAGUCUCUUGUGUGCAUUUCUUUUUAUGAUAUAAUGAAAUACUGUUUGAGGAUGA